AGUCACGAUGAGUACCAAGGUCCAGCAGGCAUGGGAGGUAGACAGAGUGGAGGACUGACAGGGAGAUUUACGUGAACCAGGCCUUCAUCAGUCACGAGGCCUCACCAGACAAUGAGGUGUGUUUUCAGAACAUUUAAUUAAAAGAUACGAUGUUCAAGAGAGACAUCCAAAGGGCAAAAUGAUCCCUGUUCUUCAUAACACUGACCUGGAACAGAAAAAGCCAAGGAGAAAAGACACACCUGCCCUGCACAUGUCCCCCUUUGCAGCAGGUGUGACAUUGCUCAGGGACGAGAGACCCAAAGCAAUCGUGGAAGACGACGAAAAGGAUGGUGACAAGAUAGCUAUUUAAAGAUAGUUCCCCUGAGACCACUUGUAAAUAGGUUAGAUUGGUUCCCUGUGGUGACCUAGAGAAAAAAUAGACUUGUUUCUGCUCUCAUUUUUGUCAUCGUCUGACUUUAAGAUUCAGACACCUUCUCCCCAGGAGAUUGGAAAAGAAACAGAUCAUCCUAAAUGAGGAGGUAACAGGGAAAGCACUGGGGUUCGGUUUCUGCAUCUUCUGGAUCAAUUC
rnacentral:sRNA from 1 species